rnacentral:snRNA from 1 species
AUACUUACCUGGCAGGGGAGAUACCAGGAUCACGAAGGUGGUUUUCCCAGGGCGAGGCUUAUCCAUUGCACUCUGGAUGGGCUGACCCCUGUGAUUUCCCCAAAUGUGGGAAACUCGACUGCAUAAUCUGUGGUAGUGGGGACUGCGUUCGUGCCUUCCCCUG